rnacentral:lncRNA from 8 species
AGAGUCACAAGCUUGAUGUAGUCCAAUGGUUCCAAACUCCAGUCCAGAGUGUGUCACACCCUGAUCUGUUUCACCUGGCUUGUGCUUGUCUCCCAUAGAACACCAGGCGUCUCCCAUUUGUUCCCAUUAUCCCCUGUGUAUUUUUUACCGGUGUUUUCUGUCUGCCUGUUGCCAGUUCGUCUUGUUUCGUCAAGCCUACCAGCAUGUUGUUCCGUACUUCUGUUUUUUCUAGUUCCUGUUUUCUAGUCCUCCCGGCUCUGUCUGCCCUGACACUAAGCCCGCCUGCCAUACCAUUCUGUACUGUCCAAAUACAUUGGGCAGAGUGGGGUAAGUUGAGCGACCCUUGUUUCUAGGAAACCAUACACAACAUUGAUCAUUUGACCAAAUAUUCAUAAUGUUAUGGUCUGUAAAGAAAGAAACCAAAGUAGAUCGUUUUAAGAUUGUUCUAUACAUCAGUUGGGGGUCUCUAUAAGCUUGAAUAUGAGGUCCUAAACCUAGCAUGAAGAUGGAGAGGAUGGCUCAUAAUAAUGUCUGGAAUGGAGUGAAUGGUUUCGAUACCAUUCCAUUUAUUCCAUUCCAGACGUUACUAUGAGCCCAUCCUCCCCAAUUAAGGUGCCUCCAGCUGUCUGCUGUGUUAACGGCUGUCCAUCAAAAUAUGUCCUAAAUGUUUAAUUGCAAAACUAAAAUCCUAACAAUGCAGUUCUUGUUUUGUCCCACAGCUGUUCCCAGACCACCACCUCCACCUGCUCCUCCAGCUGCAAAACCCAGACGGCAGCCUCCUGAAUCUCCCCCGUCCCUCCCCACUGAGGUCACACACACUCCCUCCAAGCAGAAGGAAAGUAAGGACAACACUCCCAAAAAGACAGCCACACCCUCUACGGGGGAGUCCAGCCACACCCUCUACGGGGGAGUCCAGCCACACCCUCUACGAAGGAGUCCAGCCACACCCUCUUCGGGGGAGUCCAGCCACACCCUCUACGAGGGAGUCCAGCCACACCCUCUACGAAGGAGUCCAGCCACACCCUCUUCGGGGGAGUCCAGCCACACCCUCUACGAAGGAGUCCAGCCACACCCUGUACGAGGGAGUCCAGCCACACCCUGUACGAGGGAGUCCAGCCACACCCUCUACGAGGGAGUCCAGCCACACCCUCUACGAGGGAGUCCAGCCACACCCUGUACGAGGGAGUCCAGCCACACCCUGUACGAAGGAGUCCAGCCACACCCUGUACAAGGGAGUCCAGCCACACCCUCUACGAGGGAGUCCAGCCACACCCUCUACGAGGGAGUCCAGCCACACCCUGUACGAGGGAGUCCAGCCACACCCUGUACGAAGGAGUCCAGCCACACCCUGUACGAGGGAGUCCAGCCACACCCUGUACGAGGGAGUCCAGCCACACCCUCUAUGAGGGAGUCCAGCCACACCCUGUACGAGGGAGUCCAGCCACAGCUUCUAUGAGGGUCCAGCCACACCCUCUAUGGGGGAGUCAAGCCACAGCCUCUAUGGGGGAGUCCAGCCACAGCCUCUAUGGGGGAGUCAAGCCACAGCCUCUAUGGGGGAGUCAAGCCACAGCCUCUAUGGGGGAGUCAAGCCACAGCCUCUAUGGGGGAGUCCAGCCACACCCCCAGCCAUGUACCUAACAGAAGACAAAGUACUGUGCUCAUUAAAUUACCCAGCCCUGUGGCCGACCAAUCCCCAGGCUACAACAUUAACUCAGGUAAAGCCCCCAUCAUAGCUCACACUGACUCAGGUAACAUAGUGACCUAGGUAAUGCAUGUAUAACAACACACUGACUCAAGUAACAUAAUGACCUAGGUAAUGCAUGUAUAACAACACACUGACUCAGGUAACAUAGUGACCUAGGUAAUGCAUGUAUAACAACACACUGACUCAGGUAACAUAGUGACCUAGGUAAUGCAUGUAUAACAACACACUGACUCAAGUAACAUAAUGACCUAGGUAAUGCAUGUAUAACAACACACUGACUCAAGUAACAUAAUGACCUAGGUAAUGCAUGUAUAACAACACACUGACUCAGGUAACAUAGUGACCUAGGUAAUGCAUGUAUAACAACACACUGACUCAGGUAACAUAGUGACCUAGGUAAUGCAUGUAUAACAACACACUGACUCAGGUAACAUAGUGACCGAGGUAAUGCAUGUAUAACAACACACUGACUCAGGUAACAUAGUGACCUAGGUAAUGCAUGUAUAACAACACACUGACUCAGGUAACAUAGUGACCUAGGUAAUGCAUGUAUAACAACACACUGACUCAGGUAACAUAGUGACCUAGGUAAUGCAUGUAUAACAACACACUGACUCAGGUAACAUAGUGACCUAGGUAAUGCAUGUAUAACAACACACUGACUCAGGUAACAUAGUGACCUAGGUAAUGCAUGUAUAACAUCACACUGACUCAGGUAACAUAGUGACCUAGGUAAUGCAUGUAUAACAACACACUGACUCAAGUAACAUAAUGACCUAGGUAAUGCAUGUAUAACAACACACUGACUCAGGUAACAUAGUGACCUAGGUAAUGCAUGUAUAACAACACACUGACUCAGGUAACAUAGUGACCGAGGUAAUGCAUGUAUAACAACACACUGACUCAGGUAACAUAGUGACCUAGGUAAUGCAUGUAUAACAACACACUGACUCAGGUAACAUAGUGACCUAGGUAAUGCAUGUAUAACAACACACUGACUCAGGUAACAUAGUGACCUAGGUAAUGCAUGUAUAACAACACACUGACUCAGGUAACAUAGUGACCUAGGUAAUGCAUGUAUAACAACACACUGACUCAAGUAACAUAGUGACCGAGGUAAUGCAUGUAUAACAACACACUGACUCAGGUAACAUAAUGACCUAGGUAAUGCAUGUAUAACAACACACUGACUCAGGUAACAUAGUGACCUAGGUAAUGCAUGUAUAACAACACACUGACUCAGGUAACAUAAUGACCUAGGUAAUGCAUGUAUAACAACACACUGACUCAGGUAACAUAGUGACCUAGGUAAUGCAUGUAUAACAACACACUGACUCAGGUAACAUAGUGACCUAGGUAAUGCAUGUAUAACAUCACACUGACUCAGGUAACAUAGUGACCUAGGUAAUGCAUGUAUAACAACACACUGACUCAGGUAACAUAGUGACCUAGGUAAUGCAUGUAUAACAACACACUGACUCAGGUAACCCCCUCCUGAGGAAAUCCUCUUCAGACCACAUAAACCUCAGUAUAAGCUAAGGUAAUGGUUGUUGAAUUCUGAACCAUACCACAUGGAGCCUUGGCUACACGGCUGGAAAUGGUUCAACUCUGAGACUACCGAGCCCUACCGAAUAAGAACAAAUCUUAAUUAAUGAUUACUAGUCUGCAGCUAGAAAUGAUGUCAACCUGGGAUGUGAAGACCGACAACCGCCGAAACAUCUAUAACGAUGAGAACAUUUCUGAAUGGUACUCUGAAGUAUCCAUUCUAACCACGAAAGACUUCAGGGAAGCAGAGAGAGAGAGACGCUCUUAAUGAACUCUCCAACAGACAGAUGGACGAUUUCAACAGAGAUCACGACGGCACACUGAGUGUAAAUAUAUAUUGAUUGCAGUUAUUCCCGAAUGAGUGAGCGUUCAUGUGUAAUGGAUUAGCAUUUCAAUUAAUAUAAUUAUCAACUGUGUAGUGAUUCCUUUUUUGUCUUUCCCGCUGUUCUCAGUCUACCCCCACUUCCCUUUGUCCACCAAGCCGUCAUAUCAUCUUAGUCCACUAGGGAACCUCCCCUAUCAUUUCCUCCAUAUCUACUGUGUUGUUUGUUUAUGCAUUUAUUUGAUGAUUUAGUUAGUUAGUAAAUAAAUGAUUUUAA